CCUACGGGAGGCAGCAGUGGGGAAUUUUGGACAAUGGGCGCAAGCCUGAUCCAGCCAUGCCGCGUGUGGGAAGAAGGCCUUCGGGUUGUAAACCACUUUUGUCAGGGAAGAAACGGUCUGAACUAAUACUUUGGACUAAUGACGGUACCUGAAGAAUAAGCACCGGCUAACUACGUGCCAGCAGCCGCGGUAAUACGUAGGGUGCAAGCGUUAAUCGGAAUUACUGGGCGUAAAGCGUGCGCAGGCGGCUUUGCAAGACAGAUGUGAAAUCCCCGGGCUCAACCUGGGAACUGCAUUUGUGACUGCAUGGCUAGAGUACGGUAGAGGGGGAUGGAAUUCCGCGUGUAGCAGUGAAAUGCGUAGAUAUGCGGAGGAACACCGAUGGCGAAGGCAAUCCCCUGGACCUGUACUGACGCUCAUGCACGAAAGCGUGGGGAGCAAACAGGAUUAGAUACCCUGGUAGUCCACGCCCUAAACGAUGUCAACUGGUUGUUGGGAGGGUUUCUUCUCAGUAACGAAGCUAACGCGUGAAGUUGACCGCCUGGGGAGGUACGGCCGCGAGUAGAACGUACGAAGAAGUAGACGGCGUGAGACGUAGCGACGGACGACGACGAGGGAGGAGG
rnacentral:rRNA from 1 species